rnacentral:rRNA from 1 species
UACGUAGGGUGCGAGCGUUAAUCGGAAUUACUGGGCGUAAAGCGUGCGCAGGCGGUUUUGUAAGCCAGAUGUGAAAUCCCCGGGCUUAACCUGGGAAUGGCAUUUGGGACUGCAAGGCUGGAGUUUGGCAGAGGAGACUGGAAUUCCUGGUGUAGCAGUGAAAUGCGUAGAUAUCGUAAGGAAGACCAGUGGCGAAGGCGGACCUCUGGACAGUUACUGACACUGAGGCACGAAGGCCAGGGGAGCAAACGGG